rnacentral:rRNA from 1 species
UGCAGUCGACGAGUUCUCGUUGAUGAUCGGUGCUUGCACCGAGAUUCAACAUGGAACGAGUGGCGGACGGGUGAGUAACACGUGGGUAACCUGCCCUUAAGUGGGGGAUAACAUUUGGAAACAGAUGCUAAUACCGCAUAGAUCCAAGAACCGCAUGGUUCUUGGCUGAAAGAUGGCGUAAGCUAUCGCUUUUGGAUGGACCCGCGGCGUAUUAGCUAGUUGGUGAGGUAAUGGCUCACCAAGGCGAUGAUACGUAGCCGAACUGAGAGGUUGAUCGGCCACAUUGGGACUGAGACACGGCCCAAACUCCUACGGGAGGCAGCAGUAGGGAAUCUUCCACAAUGGACGCAAGUCUGAUGGAGCAACGCCGCGUGAGUGAAGAAGGCUUUCGGGUCGUAAAACUCUGUUGUUGGAGAAGAAUGGUCGGCAGAGUAACUGUUGCCGGCGUGACGGUAUCCAACCAGAAAGCCACGGCUAACUACGUGCCAGCAGCCGCGGUAAUACGUAGGUGGCAAGCGUUAUCCGGAUUUAUUGGGCGUAAAGCGAGCGCAGGCGGUUUUUUAAGUCUGAUGUGAAAGCCCUCGGCUUAACCGAGGAAGCGCAUCGGAAACUGGGAAACUUGAGUGCAGAAGAGGACAGUGGAACUCCAUGUGUAGCGGUGAAAUGCGUAGAUAUAUGGAAGAACACCAGUGGCGAAGGCGGCUGUCUGGUCUGUAACUGACGCUGAGGCUCGAAAGCAUGGGUAGCGAACAGGAUUAGAUACCCUGGUAGUC